rnacentral:rRNA from 1 species
CCUACGGGCGGCAGCAGUGAGGAAUAUUGGUCAAUGGACGAGAGUCUGAACCAGCCAAGUAGCGUGAAGGAUGACUGCCCUAUGGGUUGUAUACUUCUUUUAUAUGGGAAUAAAAUGUUCCACGUGUGGGAUUUUGUAUGUACCAUAUGAAUAAGGAUCGGCUAACUCCGUGCCCGCAGCCGCGGUAAUACGGAGGAUCCGAGCGUUAUCCGGAUUUUUUGGGUUUAAAGGGAGCGUAGGUGGAUUGUUAAGUCAGUUGUGAAAGUUUGCGGCUCAACCGUAAAAUUGCAGUUGAAACUGGCAGUCUUGAGUACAGUAGAGGUGUGCGGAAUGCGUGGUGUAGCGGUGAAAUGCUUAGAUAUCACGAAGAACUCCGAUUGCGAAGGCAGCUCACUGGACUGCAACUGACACUGAGGCUCGAAAGUGUGGGUAUCAAACAGGAUUAGAUACCCUUGUAGUC